UACGUAGGGAGCAAGCGUUGUUCGGAUUUACUGGGCGUAAAGGGCGCGUAGGCGGCCUGUCAAGUCAACUGUGAAAUCUCCGGGCUUAACUCGGAACGGUCAGUUGAUACUGUCAGGCUAGAGUGCAGAAGGGGCAAUCGGAAUUCUUGGUGUAGCGGUGAAAUGCGUAGAUAUCAAGAGGAACACCUGAGGUGAAGACGGGUUGCUGGGCUGACACUGACGCUGAGGCGCGAAAGCGUGGGGAGCAAACAGG
rnacentral:rRNA from 1 species